rfam:Metschnikowia bicuspidata var. bicuspidata NRRL YB-4993 METBIscaffold_1, whole genome shotgun sequence.
GCCGGUCUAGUAUAGUGGUAAGUAGAGCUCGUUGUGGCCGAGCAGACCCAAGUUCGAUUCCUGGGACCGGCA